rnacentral:misc_RNA from 1 species
AGUAUAUGCAUGAUCCUCAUGAAUAUCAUUUGGAGGCUAUUUUCUGCAUCUUGCGAUAUUUAAAAUCUGCAGCUGGGGAAGGACUUCUUUUCUCAAAGCAUGAUCAUCUCCAGAUAAAAGCUUUUACAAACGCAGAUUAUGCUAGAUCUCUUGAUUAUAGAAGAUCAACAUCAAGUUAUUGAACCUUUGUUGAUAGGAAUUUAAUAACUUGGAGAAGAAAGAAGCAAAAUGUGACAACAAGAUUGAGUGCUAAGGUGGAAUAUAGAGCCAUGGCACAUGGAAUCUAUGAGCUAUUAUGGUUGCGAAAGUUGAUGGAGGAGAUGAAGUUAUUAGAAACAAACAGCUUGUCCUUAUUUUAUGACAACAAAGUUUUUAUACGUACUGUGAACAACCCAGUUCAAUAUGAUCGAACCAAGCAUAUAGAGAUUGACUGGCACUUCAUAAAAGAGAAAAUAGUA